AAAGGAGAACCAAAAUCAGCGCAAAAGAGAGCUGCGCAAUUGAGAGGAACCUCACCUUCGGUCUUCGUCUUCUUCAGCAAAAUCAGUCUGCAAAUUUUAAGAUUUUUUCUGUUAUGCCCUUAUGUGAAUAGGACAAGUGAUUAUGCUUUAUUAAUUUUCAGAAUUUCCCUAUCGUAUUGAUAUGGGUAGUGGGUAAGUUCAAGAAAUCUUUAUUCUUUCUUUAGCUCUUCCUGAUUUUCUUUUUGGUAUUUCCAAGUUAAGCAUAUAAUUUUCCGAAAUGAUAAAAUGGAUAGUUGAAUAUAUUUGGUGUAAAACCUUUCAGCUUUUCAUGAAAGUUUACUUUCAACAUUUGCUAACUUUAUUAAUGUAUUCUGGUAUCCUAAAAAUCAGAGUUGGAUUGCCAUUGAUCUUCCUUUGAAAGCUCUCUAUAAGCUUAGUAGUCUAGCUAUAGAUUAUAAUUGAAAGUUAACACCAAUAAUCAAUUCAUACCAGGAUUAUCUUUAGAAGGAAAAGAUAAUAUUUUGAGAAAAUCUCGAAAACAAACGCACACAGUUCUGGUUGAGAAAACGGAGAUGGCUCGAGGUUUUCGAGUUCGAGUCGCCUGAUUACUGCUGGAGGUUGAAGUCUCAGUUCUUGGCGUUUUAACACUUUCUCUAUUUCUG
rnacentral:lncRNA from 1 species